rnacentral:rRNA from 1 species
GGUUGUGAUGUGAAAGGCGCUUUCGGGAGUCGSUMAUGGAUGGACCCCCGGUGCAUUAGCUAGUUGGUGAGGUAACGGCUCWCCAAGGCCACRAUGCAUAGCCGGCCUGAGAGGGUGAUCGGCCACAUUGGGRAUGAGACAMGGSCCAAACUCMUACGGGAGRCAGCAGUAGGGAAUCUUCGGCAAUGGACGAAAGUCUGACCGAGCAACGCCGCGUGAGURAAGAAGGUUUUCGGAUSGUAAAACUCUGUUGUUAGAGAAGAAYAAGGAUGAGAGUAACUGUUCAUCCCUUGAMGGUAUCUAACCAGAAAGCCACGGCUAACUACGUGCCAGCAGCCGCGGUAAUACGUAGGUGGCAAGCGUUGUCCGGAUUUAUUGGGCGUAAAGCGAGCGCAGGCGGUUUCUUAAGUYUGAUGUGAAAGCCCCCGGCUCAACCGGGGAGGGUCAUUGGAAACUGGGAGACUUGAGUGCAGAAGAGGAGAGUGGAAUUCCAUGUGUAGCGGUGAAAUGCGUAGAUAUAUGGAGGAACACCAGUGGCGAAGGCGGCUYCUGGUCUGUAACKACGCGAGGYSAAAGCUGARCAACCCCA